rnacentral:rRNA from 1 species
UCCAGACUCCUACGGGAGGCAGCAGUGAGGAAUAUUGGUCAAUGGUCGGGCGACUGAACCAGCCAAGCCGCGUGAGGGAUGAAGGUACAGAGUAUCGUAAACCUCUUUUGUCGGGGAACAAAGGCGCCCACGGGUGGGCGGAUGAGUGUACCCGAAGAAAAAGCAUCGGCUAACUCCGUGCCAGCAGCCGCGGUAAUACGGAGGAUGCGAGCGUUAUCCGGAUUUAUUGGGUUUAAAGGGUGCGUAGGCGGACAGUCAAGUCAGCGGUAAAAAUGCGGUGCUCAACGCCGUACAGCCGUUGAAACUGGCAGUCUUGAGUGGGCGAGAAGUAUGCGGAAUGCGUGGUGUAGCGGUGAAAUGCAUAGAUAUCACGCAGAACUCCGAUUGCGAAGGCAGCAUACCGGCGCCCUACUGACGCUGAGGCACGAAAGCGUGGGUAUCGAACAGGAUUAGAUCCCCGAGUA